rnacentral:lncRNA from 1 species
CCAAAUCCCUCUUUUUUAUGUCAUUGCUUAAUUUAGUUUGUGAAUCUGAAAAUUAGUGCAGGCCAUUAUUUUUAUUUUAUUCCAUAUUUUCUCUUUUGAAUAUGAUGCACAUUCUUCUGUUCAUUAAUUUCCUGUUGUAAGAAUUUACAUCUAGUGUUAGUAUCUAAGGCUUGAUCUUGGAAUCUAGAAUGGUUUUGGAAGGUUUGGAUUUCAUUUCCAAAAUUCAUUUUCUUAAUGAGAACUUCCAUUUCGGAACAACUAAGGCCAAAUUUCUGAAAAUUUUGGGUUGUUAAAAUUAACCGAUGAUUCCAUAUUGUUAUUAUGAUAAUUGCUCUCAUUGACCAUAAUUUGAGGUGUAACUUCCACUCUAUUGAUGUUUCUUCCAAAAUUCAUUUUCUUAAAUGAGAACUUCCAUUUCGGAACAACUAAGGCCAAAUUUCUGAAAAUUUUGGGUCGUUAAAAUUAACCGAUGAUUCCAUAUGCAGCCUAAAGAUAUUGUUAUUAUGAUAAUUGCUCUCAUUGACCAUAAUUUGAGGUGUAACUUCCACUCUAUUGAUGUUUCUUCCAGUACACAUUGUGGCCAAAGGUUUGAAGCUAAUUUUCAACUGUGUUUUAAUGGAGUUUGCAGUCAUGGUUAUGUUUUUGGAGAGCAGCCGUUAAUUCUAUUGGAAUAGUAUCAGCUAAAGUCCUUUUCUUUUUGAUAAAUUCUAGUAAAAGUCAUUUCUGUAAUCACGUUGUUUAUGCACUUUCGUAUGUCACAUAAGCACUAGAUGUUUGUGUCAUUUUGGUUCCAUAAGUUCCUUUGUGUAUGUUCUUCUACUGCUUGGGGUAUCCAUUUGGUAACAUGUCUAUGUUCAGAGUUGAAGAUGAAGGUAUACUGUUGCCAAACAUUCCUACACGUAAAGCGACCUCCAGUUGCUAUCAAAACUGUUUUCUAUUCAUGAUUUAAAUAUUAAUUGGAUAAAUUCAUAUCAAUAUUGUUCUGUCUUCUGUAUAUUUGAUGAUUGGAACAAUUUUGGCUUGAUGUCAUAGGAUUGUAGCUCGGUCGGCAUAUUGAUGUCUAGUUGUUUUUUGAUAUUUUAUUCUAGAUAGGCUUCUUAAAAUAGUUUUGAGUUCAUGAUACAAAAAGUACUAUAGAGGGUUUUAUGAAAAACUUGUUGUGGCUCUUGUAUAUUUGCUCAAUGCAAUAAUUUGGAGCAAGUCUUCUUGGAUUGUGUUUGGAUUCAAGCUGUUUGAAUCGUCCUCAAAUAUUUUUCUGGAGCGCUGUAUAAGGGGCUGGGGAUUGUUUGCAAUUGAAUAAUUGAUGUAAACAUAUGAUAUGCCUUUGCCACGAGUUUCUCGUGUUUUUCCUUUGCACAAUGCAAUCCCAAAAAGGGUUAGAUAUUUCUGGAACAGUAAGUCCACAGUCUAGUAGAACUCUUAUGUUAUUUAUGUGCUGCACAGUUCCAUUUAAGCAUCUGGAAUUAAAUUUAUGCAUAUUUUCAGAAUGCCCCAUCAGAGAGAACUUACCUAAUUACCCUUAUAUGAAGCAACCAAGAUGUCUCUUGGUGCCGUGCCCUUUUUUGCCCUUUAAUUUGCAAAAUGACCUUCGAUUAACAACUAUUAGAAUACUCAUUGAUGGGAAUAACCCUACAAUGGUAAAUUACGAAACUUUCUCGAGGAAAUGAAAAUAUGAGAAUGUCUUUCAUGCGUUGGAUGUUAAAAUUUCAUCAUGAUAAUUUGUUGGAUAUUUCUUGUCUAUUUUUCCUCUAUUAGGGCCAGAGUGAAAAUUCACUCUUGUUUUUAGCCUUCAGUAAUCAUUGAUAGGAUGACAAUUUUGUCUUGGAACAUGUUGGACUAUCAUUUUAUCAUGCAAGGAUUUGUUUCUGCUGUUUCUUGGUGGCAGCCACUUAUCUCUUGAGAUGAUGUUGAUGUUAUUGGAGUUAUAGUAACUGAGCACAUAUUUUAGUAUGUCCUAUAAGGGGUGCUUAUAGAGUUAUAGGAUCAUAGAGAAUCCCCUAAUGGGAUUUGUUGAGCUCUCAAUUGUUGUGCUGGGACUUCUGCUUUUCUUUUAUGCCUUCUUUUUCUUUUUUCUUGGGUUUCUUGAUGUGGAUAUUGAUGCUUUGUACGCUAUAGUUAUUGUGCACUUAUUUCAGAACUAGAAGGGACCAGCUAGAUGUUCAUUGGGAUUGGUGACUGUUAUGAAGAUCUUAGUAGUAACUGAUUCUAGUUACAUAGCUCAUGAAGAUGUCAAGAUUCUGAUUGCUUGACAUCUUUUUAGCAAUUUGCUGAGCCUAGUUUGAAGCAAUGACAUGCAAGAGUUGUCCGAUAUUUGGCUUCAUCUGGAGAAUUUAAACUCUAUAUGUAUGCCAUCUGAGGUCUCACAGAUCAUUUUAUUAGAUAUGAGCCAUGGUCAGCUUUGAUGCAUAGAAGUACUAAAUUCAAGUGCAAAAUAUUUUCCUUUCAAGUAGGGGAAUUUUAAAGGGCAAGAUCUAGCAUUCUAGACCACCUUGUUAUGUGUUAUAUAGCCUGUGUUUCAUAUGCACCUACAUGAAUCUCAUGUGUGCACGUAUAUUUGUGCCAUGACUUUCUAAACUCAUAUAAGUAGCUGUAAAAGCGGUAUGCUUUUAGCUAUAAACCUUUCUAAUCAAAGAUAGGUCCUAUGGAUUCAUUUUCUAAACUCA